rnacentral:rRNA from 1 species
UUGGUAAAUAAAAACUACAGUUCUAAAACCAAAAAAUUUGGCGGUGUUUUAAUUAAUGCAGGGGAACUUGCUAAUUAAUUCGAUAACCAACGAAACUUUUAACCUAUAAUUGAAACUCAAUUAGUGUACUGCCGUAAUAUAUAAAUUUAUGAUAUAUUAUAUAUAAAAAAUUAAUAUUUUAAACAACAGGUCAAAGUGCUGUUAAUAUAUAGGGUUAUAGUGAGUUACAAUAUAACAUAUGUAUGAAUUAAUUUAUAAUAAAUAUAUGAAAAUGGACUUGAUAGUAAUUAA